AGUGAACGCUGGCGGUAGGCCUAACACAUGCAAGUCGAACGGCAGCACAGUAAGAGCUUGCUCUUACGGGUGGCGAGUGGCGGACGGGUGAGGAAUACAUCGGAAUCUACUUUUUCGUGGGGGAUAACGUAGGGAAACUUACGCUAAUACCGCAUACGACCUACGGGUGAAAGCAGGGGAUCUUCGGACCUUGCGCGAUUGAAUGAGCCGAUGUCGGAUUAGCUAGUUGGCGGGGUAAAGGCCCACCAAGGCGACGAUCCGUAGCUGGUCUGAGAGGAUGGAUCAGCCACCCUGAACCUGGGACAGGUCCCAGCCCCUGCGGGGGGGAAGCGGUGGGAAUAUUUGACAAAGGGGCGCAACCCUGUCCAAGCCAACCGCGUGGGUUAAGGAGGCCUUCCGGUUUGUAAACCCCUUUGUUGGGAAAGAAAAGCAGCAGGUUAAUACCCCGCUGUUCUGACGGUACCCAAAGAAUAAGCACCGGCUAACUUCGUG
rnacentral:rRNA from 1 species